AGAAUCAACGCUGGCGGCGUGCCUAACACAUGCAAGUCGAACGAGAAAGUGGAGCAAUCCAUGAGUAAAGUGGCGACCGGGUGAGUAACACGUGACUAACCUACCCUGAAGUGGGGAAUAACUCCGGGAAACCGGGCUAAUACCGCAUAACAUCGUCGUUUCUAAACGAAGUGACGAUCAAAGCAGCAAUGCGCUAUGGGAGGGGUCGCGGCUGAUUAGCUAGUUGGCGGGUAAUGGCCCACCAAGGCGAAGAUCGGUA
rnacentral:rRNA from 1 species